GCCCUUGUGGCUUAGUGGUUAAGAAUUUGGCUGCUAACCAAAAGGCUGGCAGUUCUAAUCCACCAGCUGCU
rnacentral:tRNA from 1 species